CACUGCUAUCGGGGUUCGAUUAAGCCAUGCGAGUCGAGAGGGUUCAGACCCUCGGCGCACUGCUCAGUAACACGUGGAUAACCUACCCUGAGGAGGGGGAUAACCCCGGGAAACUGGGGAUAAUACCUCAUAGGUUUCAGAUGCUGGAAUGCUCUGAAACCGAAAUGCUCCGGCGCCUCAGGAUGGAUCUGCGGCCGAUUAGGUUGUUGUUGGGGUAACGGCCCAACAAGCCCGUCAUCGGUACGGGUUGUGAGAGCAAGAGCCCGGAGAUGGAUUCUGAGACACCAAUCCAGGCCCUACGGGGCGCAGCAGGCGCGAAACCUUUACAAUGCGAGCAAUCGUGAUAAGGGAACCCCGAGUGCCUGAAACCAGGCUGUUCAGGUGUUUAAAAAGCACCUGGAGAAAGGGCCGGGCAAGACCGGUGCCAGCCGCCGCGGUAAUACCGGCGGCUCGAGUGGUGGCCGCUAUUAUUGGGCUUAAAGCGUUCGUAGCUGGGUUGUUAAGUCUCUUGGGAAAUCUCACGGCUCAACCGUGAGGCGACUAAGAGAUACUG
rnacentral:rRNA from 1 species